AUUGAACGCUGGCGGCAGGCCUAACACAUGCAAGUCGAGCGAGCGGCGGACGGGUGAGUAAUGUCUGGGAAACUGCCUGAUGGAGGGGGAUAACUACUGGAAACGGUAGCUAAUACCGCAUACAAUCAGCUCUGCCCAGAUGGGAUUCGCUAGUAGGUGGGGUAACGGCUCACCUAGGCGACUAUCCCUAGCUGGUCUGAGAGGGUGACCAGCCAAACGGGAACUGAGACACGGUCCAGAAUCCUACGGGAGGCAGCAGUGGGGAAUAUGUCACAAUGGGCGCAAGCCUGAUGCAGCCAUGCCGCGUGUGUGAAGAAGGCCUUCGGGUUGUAAAGCACUUUCAGCGGGGAGGCGUUACCCGAAGAAAAAGCACUGGCUAACUACGUGCCAGCCGCCGCGGUAAUAC
rnacentral:rRNA from 1 species